GGGGCGGGGCAGGACCGGCGACCCGGCCCGUGGAGCCGGCGCGGGCGGGCUGCUGAGGUGGCUGUCGCCGGCUCCGAGCUGCGGCUUCCCGGGCCGAGCCCCCGAUGGAGGCCGAGGCCGCGGACGCUCCCCCGGGCGGGGUUGAGUCGGCGCUCAGCUGCUUCUCUUUCAACCAGGACUGCACAUCCCUAGCAAUUGGAACUAAAGCCGGGUAUAAGCUGUUUUCUCUGAGUUCUGUGGAGCAGCUGGAUCAAGUCCACGGAAGCAAUGAAAUCCCGGACGUCUACAUCGUGGAGCGCCUCUUCUCCAGCAGCCUGGUGGUGGUAGUCAGUCACACAAAACCACGGCAGAUGAACGUGUAUCACUUCAAGAAAGGCACAGAGAUCUGUAAUUACAGCUACUCCAGCAACAUCUUGUCCAUAAGGCUGAACCGGCAAAGGCUGCUGGUUUGCCUAGAAGAGUCCAUUUAUAUUCACAACAUUAAAGACAUGAAGCUGUUGAAGACCCUCCUGGAUAUUCCUGCAAACCCAACAGGUCUAUGUGCUCUCUCUAUCAACCAUUCCAAUUCUUACUUGGCCUAUCCUGGAAGCCUGACUUCAGGGGAGAUUGUGCUUUAUGAUGGAAACUCCCUGAAAACAGUCUGCACUAUUGCUGCCCAUGAGGGAACACUAGCUGCCAUCACCUUCAAUGCCUCAGGCUCCAAACUAGCAAGUGCAUCUGAAAAAGGCACAGUCAUCCGGGUGUUCUCUGUCCCUGAUGGGCAAAAGCUCUAUGAGUUCCGGAGAGGGAUGAAAAGGUAUGUGACAAUCAGCUCUCUAGUGUUCAGUAUGGAUUCACAAUUCCUCUGCGCCUCCAGUAACACCGAGACGGUACACAUCUUCAAGCUGGAACAGGUCACCAACAGUCGACCAGAAGAGCCUUCGACCUGGAGUGGCUACAUGGGAAAGAUGUUCAUGGCUGCUACCAACUACCUCCCCACCCAGGUGUCAGACAUGAUGCAUCAGGACAGGGCUUUUGCCACCGCACGCUUGAACUUCUCCGGACAGAGGAACAUCUGUACCCUCUCAACGAUCCAGAAGUUGCCACGGCUGCUAGUUGCGUCAUCCAGUGGACACCUUUAUAUGUACAAUUUGGAUCCUCAGGAUGGAGGAGAGUGUGUCUUAAUCAAAACCCACAGCUUGCUUGGCUCAGGAACAACAGAAGAGAAUAAAGAAAAUGACCUCAGACCUUCUUUACCUCAGUCUUAUGCAGCAACCGUAGCCAGACCAAGUGCAUCUUCAGCCUCCACGGUGCCAGGUUAUUCUGAGGACGGCGGGGCGCUGCGAGGAGAAGUUAUUCCUGAACAUGAGUUUGCGACGGGACCAGUGUGUCUUGAUGAUGAGAAUGAGUUUCCUCCUGUGAGCAUUAGGAACCCGUAACUGGGCGGCUCAGUCUGUGUGCUUAGAAGGAAACCUUCGCCUCAUACGAGAGGCAGAGUCCCUUUCCCUGUUUUCUAAUCUAUAACAACUAAUUCUCUGCUCUAGUAUUUGGAAAGCCAUAGGAUAUCUGUUGUACUGUGUGCUUCGAAUCCUACAGGGUAGGCUUUAGGUGUCGAGCUAAACCCUGAUGGCAUUAGAGUCACCAAAUACUAAUCCAGGGAGUCUUGGUGGCCUCCCUCCAGCCAGAGGCCUGCGAUCCCUUACUUUGCUUCUGUAGCACUGACUUUGCUGCCUGGAAGGUAGGAACACGUGACUUGCCUAAAACUUAUUUUCCUGAGGCUCCCAUGGAUGCGUUUGCAGAAUGCUGCCUUCCUUGUGCUGGAGGGGAUGGUUUCAGAGGGCUGGGCUGUGUGUUCAGGACUCUGAGCUGAGUUGCUGCACUCUGUGAACCAGCUUGACCCUCACUUACCUGCAGCUGUGGCCGGCAGGCCCGCACCUCCCCAGCAGUUGCAGACACUCAUUAAGAAACAAGUGGCCGGGUGCGGCGUGAACCGCCGCACCCGGCCGGAAGUAGUGUUUGGGCCAAGACUUGGAGCAUCAGCUCCUAGAGCCAGAGAGGAGCUGCCACUUGGGCACUGAAACAAUGUCCAUUAGGCUUUGUUAUGGAAACUUCUCCUGAUCAUUGUUUUGUGUCCAUUGAGCUUCCAAUUGUAAAAGGAUGGAGUGCAGGUCUGGCUUCUUUCUCCCGCAGAUCCGUGGAACCCUCUAGUGAGCACAUUUGGCUUAGAAAACAAAGCUGCGGUGGGGCCCUGCAUGCAGGGCUGGGGCUGUUGUUUUGUGAUUUCCCACAUCGGCUCUGCGGGUCGGUCGCAGCGUGAGCUUUUACAUUUCUGGCUUUCAAUAGGCAGGUUGUCAGAGACGUGGCUGGCAAGUGAAGUUUAUAUCUCAGUGGCGGACAGCAGUUGUUCUUAAAAAUACUAAUUAUAAACUUCAAAACCUCUGUUGGCAUGCUGCCUAACUAUAAACCAGUUGUUUUACCUUUGGGUUCUCAUGGCCCCAACUGGCCUUAAAGGGCAUUCUUCUGCACCCUCAAAAGGCGGUGGUUAUUUACCUGAAGUCGAGGCUUCCAGGAUCCAGAGCACUCUAGGUCAGACACCGUGGGGACAAAUGUGACCAUUCCACUCUGUCAGGGUUUACCACAUCCAGACACUCACUAGGUUCCGUUUCACUAAUUUUGGUAAAAGUCUGUAACUACUAUAAAAUAUUAUUAGAUUCUUAAUUGUAAUCGCAGUAAGCCUUGCAACCUCUUAUAGUUACAGAAUUGGGGUAAUGUGGAUAUUAGUAUCUAGGAGGUAGUUCCUUGCCAAAGAACCUGUAUAAAAUAAUAGGUACCUUGUGCAGAUCAUUUAUUUGGGGUAAAAAGGAAAAGGGGAGUUGCUUAAUUGAAGAACCAGUGAGAAAGUUUGUCCUGAGGCCUGUGUGCCCAUUCAGUGCCAGGAAGCUGGGCAUGAGCCAGUUGUUUCUUCUCCCUCCUAAGGACCAAAUGAGUGAAAGUUGGUUGAAAUUGCAUCAGGAAUUCUUAUUUAUAUGCAAGAAAUACUUCCUGCCAGUGACAGUGGUCACCGAACAAGGUCCCUAGAACAGGUGUUAGACCCUUGUGAGUGUCGGGCAGCCCCUGUGUGCAGGGCUGUGUCAUAGCAGCCACCAACCUCUCAGUCUGCCCUCCAGCCUGCAGGUAGAUGGUGAUGAGGGGCAGUGCUCCCACUAAGGCACUGUCUCAGUAGCAGGCAGGCUUCUCCAUCUCACCAUGUAAGGACCAGAGGCAUGCAUGCUCCUGGGAUGCUCUAUUAAUAUGGCCCAUCUCAGUCAUGCCUGAAUUGGCAGAAAUGUUCAGCGAGGGAUGCUGGGGAACUUCCUCUCUGUGUCCUUAUUCUGAAUUGUCAUGCCUAUUGUAAAUCUCUGUGCAGAAUUCACAUCUUUACUCACAUUCCUUAAAAUCUUCUAGGACCACAAAAGGCUCUUGGAGUCUCAGCUUGGUUAAAAUCGCCUCUCUUGUAGUGACGAACAUAGGCUUGCCUGAGUAGUCUGCUGCAGGAGCUCUGUGAGCCGCUGCCUUAAGAACGCGAGUCAUCACUAGUGAUCUUUUUAGAACACAUACUGACACUUCCCUGCGUAGGAUCAUGCUUGCCUCCUUGGGAUUUACUUUUGCUCUGAGAGCAGUGAAAGAAAAGAGACUUGAUCAUUUCUGGUGCCUUAGAAAGCUGCUACAUUCAGGAGGAUGAGAAGCUUUUGUUUCAGGAACAAGCCAACCUGUACAAGUCUCUGUAUUUUGUGAGACUAGUCCCAAUCUUGUGAGCAAGAGUCAGGAAAUCAGGCCCAAGGGUAUAAACUGACCUUCCCUUUUUUUUUUUUUUUUUUUUUUGAGAUGAUAGAGUCUCACUCUGUCCCUCAAGCUAGAAUGUGUUGGCGUGAUCUCCACUCACUGCAACCUCUACCUCCUAGGUUCAAGUGAUUCUAGUGCCUCAGCCUCCCAAGUAGCUGGGGUUUCAGGCAUGCUACCAUGCCCAGCUAAAUUUUGUAUUUUUAGUAGAGACAGGAUUUCACCAUGUUGGCCAGGCUGGUCUCAAACUCCUGACCUCAGGUGAUCACCCACCUCAGCCUCCUAAAGUGCUGGGAUUACAGGUGUGAGCCACUGCGCCCAGCCUAAACUGACUUUUUUUUUUGAGAUGGAGUCUUGCUCCAUCGCCCAGGCUGGAGUGCAGUGGUGCGAUCUCGGCUCACUGCAGCCUCCACCUCCCCGGUUCAAGUGAUUCUCCUGCCUCAGCCUCCCGAGUAGCUGGGAUUACACGUGAGCGCCACCAUGCCCGGCUAAUUUUUGUAUUUUUUAGUAGCGAUGGGGUUUCACCAUGUUGGCCAGGCUGGUCUCAAACUCCUGACCUAGUGAUCCACCCACCUCAGCCUCCCAAAGUUCUGGGAUUACAGGCGUGAGCCACCGCGCCCAGCCUAAACUGACUUUUUAAUAGUGAUUGAGCAGUCCAUGUUUACAAGUAAGAUGAGCCUUUUAAAAAUAUAUACAUAUACAUAUACAUAUAAAUACAUACACACACAGACAUUUUUAUAGUCAGUAUUUUCUAGAACUGUGUCAUACUUGUCUACACCUAAAUAAGCUGGGUGACCAUUCUGUGGCCAUGAGCGAGUUCAGACAGAAAAAUUCCACAGUGCCCAGCCUCUCCCUGCUCACUCUGCAUGGGCACAGACCUGUUGAUAAUGCACCUGCCUACCAGCCUCUUCCUGAGAAGAGUAAGGCCAUUCUGUUUUGAUUUUGGUAGAUAAUCUUGUGCCGUGGAAAUCAGAAGGGCAAAACGAAGCAGUCAUGAUGAGAAGCACACCUCAGAAAUCAGGACAUCCCCCCUAUCAGGUGGUUUUGGAGAAAACAAGGAAGGUGGAAGAAUGGAGUGCAAUUGUGUGAGCAGAAAGGGGGGCAGGAAUCCCGGGUGCUCCACUGCUUAAACCACAGGACCUGGUUAACUCCUCACCAAGCUUCCCGCGACCCUGGUUGCCAAUGGGCGCGGGAGACAUUGUAUACACAUCAUGCUAUUUAAAAUAUGUUCAAACUAUAGUGUAAAUGCUAAUUAACCAUAUUGGUAUAUAACCGGAAUUUUAUAUUAAAAGGGGCCUCCUUUUUAAAUAUAUGCCGUGUAAAAAAUGUACUUAUAGGAACAUCUCUUUGAAUUGUAUUUCUUGUAUAUUACAUACUUAGAGAGAGACUAUUUUAGCCAGGCAAAGUCUUUUUUGGCUGUGACUGGAAUAAAUCAUUUAUUACUUGGGAGUCCCAUUUUGGACACUAAUAAUAAAAUCAUGGCAAUGCA